ACGAACGCUGGCGGCGUGCUUAACACCUGCAAGUCGCACGGAAAGGCCCUGCUUUUGUGGGGUGCUCGAGUGGCGAACGGGUGAGUAACACGUGAGUAACCUGCCCUUGACUUUGGGAUAACUUCAGGAAACUGGGGCUAAUACCGGAUAGGAGCUCCUGCUGCAUGGUGGGGGUUGGAAAGUUUCGGCGGUUGGGGAUGGACUCGCGGCUUAUCAGCUUGUUGGUGGGGUAGUGGCUUACCAAGGCUUUGACGGGUAGCCGGCCUGAGAGGGUGACCGGGCACAGUGGGACUGGGAUACGGCCCAGACUGCUACGGGAGGCAGCGGUGGGGAAUAUUGCACAAUGGGCGGAAGCCUGGUGCAGCAACGCCGCGUGCGGGAUGACGGCCUUCGGGUUGUAAACCGCUUUCGCCUGUGACGAAGCGUGAGUGACGGUAAUGGGUAAAGAAGCACCGGCUAACUACGUG
rnacentral:rRNA from 1 species